rnacentral:misc_RNA from 1 species
GAUGAAGAACGCAGCGAAAUGCGAUAAGUAAUGUGAAUUGCAGAAUUCAGUGAAUCAUCGAAUCUUUGAACGCACAUUGCGCCCGCCAGUAUUCUGGCGGGCAUGCCUGUUCGAGCGUCAUUUCAACCCUCAGGCCCCCAGUGCCUGGUGUUGGGGAUCGGCCCAGCCUUCCUGUAAGGCCGCCGGCCCCGAAAUCUAGUGGCGGUCUCGCUGUAGUCCUCCACUGCGUAGUAGCACAACCUCGCAGUUGGAACGCGGCGGUGGCCAUGCCGUUAAACACCCCACUUCUGAAAGUUGACCUCGGAUCAGGUAGGAAUACCCGCUGAACUUAAGCAUAUCAAUAAGCGGAGGA